UCCCUUUCAGGAUCUCAGCUGGAGAGUUUUCAGUCCUCUACCAGUCUCGGCUAUGGGAGGGAGAAUCGAGCAGAGGCCUGUCCAAUCCAUUCCUAGCUUGGCCAGUGGCUAGCGAGUGGAAGGCGAUCUGCUACAAGU
rnacentral:snoRNA from 1 species